rnacentral:rRNA from 1 species
UACGGAGGAUCCAAGCGUUAUCCGGAAUCAUUGGGUUUAAAGGGUCCGUAGGCGGUUUAGUAAGUCAGUGGUGAAAGUUUUCGGCUCAACCGGAAAAUUGCCAUUGAUACUGCAAGACUUGAAUUAUUGUGAAGUGGUUAGAAUGUGUAGUGUAGCGGUGAAAUGCAUAGAUAUUACACAGAAUACCGAUUGCGAAGGCAGAUCACUAACAAUUAAUUGACGCUAAGGGACGAAAGCGUGGGUAGCGAACAGG